GGUGGUUCCUGUGUGUCUGGCAUGUGGUUCUGGUACAUUCAGAAGGUGAUUCCAAUGUGUCCAGUAGGUGCUUCCGGCAUGUCUGGCAGUUGGUUCCAGCAUGUCCGGCAGGUGAUUCCGGCGUGUCCGGCAGGUGGUUCUGGACUGUCCGGCAGGAGGUUGCACCAUGUCCCUAACCUGAUUCUGGCGUGUCUGGUGGGUGGUUCUGGUGUGUCUGAGUGGUGGUUCCAGUGUGUCCGGCAGGUGGUUCCGGCAAGUCAGGCAGCUGGUUCCAGCAUUUUCAGGAUGGGAGUCCGACGUGUAAGUCAGGUGGUUCCAGCGAGUCCACCACCUGGUUCUGGCAUAUCUGGCGGAUGGUUCUUGCAUGCCCAGCAGGUGGUUAUGGAGUGUCCGUCAAGUUGUUCAGGCGUAUCUGGCAAGUGGUUCAGUCUUGUCCAACAUGUGGUUCCGGUGUGUCUGGCAGGUGGUUCCCGGGUGUCAGGCUGGUGGUUCCGGCAUGUCUGGCCAGUGGUUCAGCCGUGUUUGGUGGGCAGAUCAUUGCUUUCCAGCAGGUGGAGCAGUCGUGUCCAGUGGUUGGUUGCUGCAUAUCCAGGGGUGUUUCUGGCAUGUCCAGAAGGUGGUUCCGUCAUGUUCAGCAGGUGGUUCCGGGGUGUCUCUCAGGUGGUUCUGGUGUGUCCAGAAGUUGGUUCCAGCAUGUCAGGCAGAUGGUUCCGGCUUGUCCGGCAGGUGGUUCUGGCAUGUCCAGCACCUGGUUCCAGCGUGUACGGUAGGUGGUUCUAGCAUGUCCACCUGAUGGUUCUGGCAUGUCCGGAAUGUGGUUGUGGCGUGUGCGGCAUGUGGUUCUGGAGUCUCUGUCAAGUGGUUCAGGCAUAUUUGGCGGGUGGUUCAGUUUUGUCUGGCAGGUGGUUCCAGCAUUUCCAGUCAGUGGUACCAGCGUGGCAUUCAGGUGGUUCCAGCAUGUCAGGCAGGGGGUUCCUAUGUAUCUGGCAUGAGUUUCCGCUUUGUCCAGAAGGUGGUUCCGACAUAUCUGGUGGGUACUCUAGGCAUGUCCAGCAGUUGGUUCCCACGUGUCUGGCGGGUGAUUCCAGUGCAUCUGGCAGGUGGCUGCAGCAUUUCUGGGACAUGAUUCCAU
rnacentral:lncRNA from 1 species